rnacentral:lncRNA from 10 species
AGAGAGGAGUAAAUCCUUCUGUCGUCCCCGUUCUGCCGCCCCCGCGAUGAUUUAUGCGUCCUUUUUAUUAUUUGUAACACUUUGGGAAGUUAUUAAAAGGAAGAUCUACUGCUUCCUCCUUUUGGGUUAAACUGGAUGGCAAUGUUUGUCACUGGCCCUUAUUAGAGAAGAGUGUGGCGAGGUGGAGGGCCGUUGGACGCUGGGUUUGUUUGUGUGGGUCUUGUUUUUUAUUACAAGACACAUUAUCCUUUUAAUUACAAGCUGUAGACAGGGCCAACUUCGAAGGUCUUCGUGGCGGAGUGAUCUUGGAUCAUUCAGGGGGCUGAAACCCGAUGCCUUCUGACUUUCGCGUCCGUACUCUUGGCGUUGGGAGGAGCCUCUCAGGAAGGUGUUGCAACCUUUGGUUGUACCAGAAGGAAAUAAGCAAACUCCCAUCACCCCCACCCCCAUUCCCCGCCCUAACACGGAGUAAACUUCGGCCUUUUUCCGCUUGGAUGCUCAUUAAGAGUUAGUUGACUUUGUAGCGGAUGCAAUAAAAUUUGGAUGGUUUCAGGCCCCCAAACAAUCCUGGUUUCUGUUUUCCUCUCUCCCUAGGCACACCCCCAAGGAAAUUGCCUUUUCAGCAGGCGCCUGCGGGAAAGAACCGCAGGAGACAGAUUCCCUUUAGAGAUCUGCAUGGGGAGGAGGGAGAUAUGGAAAUAAAGAGGGCCAAGGUAAGAGGACGGAGAGGCCAUAGAGGACUUGCAUGUUUGGGUGUGAGUUUUCUGGCCAACUAGGGGGAAAAUCCACAAACCUGAGGUAUCUGGUGGAUGCGCUGAAAAAUUAGCUCUCACCUGCAGAGUUACUCAACCCUCGUGCGCUUCUGCUCUGCCGGGAAGGGCCAGUCUCCGAGGGCGGAAUAAGUAUGGGUAUUGAAAGGCAAGUAGGAAACAGCAAAAGAAAAGAACAGAUACAAAUUUUCUACUCCCGACCUCCAAACCAAAAUCGCACUUUCAAACGUAAAACGCAAUUCCAAGAAGACUGGGAUGUAGGGAGUAUGCGAUGCCUCUGUUCAAUAGGUCACUGUCAGGAACUUCAGUUUCUGGUGUUCAGAUAUUUGUAUUUGAAAUUAAGAAAAUCAACGCAGGAGGGGUUGCUGGAGGAUAAAGUGGGGUGACGAGAGACCGAAGGAGGGGGAGGAGGAGAGGGGUAGAAGGAACCAAGAACCAUCUGAUGGCAGAACUGGGCUGAAGGAAAACAAAACCGUGAACUUCAAAGCUCAGGCCUAAUCUCCCUCAGGUUAAUUUCUGCUUCCUAAAAAGUUUGAUCAGGGUCAUAAAUCACUCGGUCCACCCUUGCCGGUCCUGCCUGGUUCCCCAAGGUUCUCUCCCCGCAGCCCGCUGCAGGGGCGCAGGGUGAGUCUCCAGCCCAAGACCGUC